rnacentral:rRNA from 1 species
UACAGAGGUCUCAAGCGUUGUUCGGAUUCAUUGGGCGUAAAGGGUGCGUAGGCGGCGCGGUAAGUCGGGUGUGAAAUCUCGGAGCUUAACUCCGAAACUGCAUUCGAUACUGCCGUGCUUGAGGACUGGAGAGGAGACUGGAAUUUACGGUGUAGCGGUGAAAUGCGUAGAUAUCGUAAAGAAGACCAGUGGCGAAGGCGGGUCUCUGGACAGUUCCUGACACUGAGACACGGAAGGCCCAGGGGAGCAAACGGG